UAAAGGAAUUGGCGGGGGAGCACUACAAGGGGUGGAGCGUGCGGUUUAAUUGGAUUCAACGCCGGGAACCUCACCGGGGGCGACGGCAGGAUGAAGGCCAGGCUGAAGGUCUUGCCGGACACGCCGAGAGGAGGUGCAUGGCCGCCGUCAGCUCGUACCGUGAGGCGUCCACUUAAGUGUGGUAACGAGCGAGACCCGCGCCCCCAGUUGCCAGUUCUCCCCGCUGGGGAGGAGGCACUCUGGGGGGACCGCCGGCGAUAAGCCGGAGGAAGGAGCGGGCGACGGUAGGUCAGUAUGCCCCGAAACCCCCGGGCUACACGCGCGCUACAAUGGGCGGGACAAUGGGAUCCGACCCCGAAAGGGGAAGGGAAUCCCCCUAAACCCGCCCCCAGUUCGGAUCGAGGGUUGAAACCCACCCUCGUGAAGGUGGAUUCCGUAGUAAUCGCGGGUCAACAUCCCGCGGUGAAUAUGCCCCUGCUCCUUGCACACACCGCCA
rnacentral:rRNA from 1 species